AUGAACGUGGACUCAGGAAGACUUGAGUUCAAAUACAGACUCAGACAUUACUUGUGCGCUGAAGGCGCUCUAUGCCCUGACCCAUCCUCAGGAAAACCCGCGAUGGCGGCCAAGCGCAAAGGCGGCCUGAAGCUCAAUGCCAUCUGUGCCAAGUUGAGCCGCCAGGUGGUGGUGGAGCAGGGAGCAGAGACAGGCCCCCAGCCAGAAGGCGGCCAAGGCAACCCCCUGCGGCCCCGGGAGAAGGAGCAGGGCGGUGGGGUGGAGGCCAAGGUCACCCAGACGCCUCGCAGUGAGGAGGACAGGCGGCGGGCCGUGAUCGAGAAGUGGGUGAAUGGGGAGUACAGCGAGGAGCCAUCCCCAGCCCCAAUCAUAGGGCGCAGCGUCCGCGAGGGCCUCGAGCUGCCCCCCGAGGGUGUCUACAUGGUACAGCCCCAGGGGUGCAGCGAUGAGGAGGACCACGCAGAAGAAACUCGGGGGCCCGCCUCCCAGAGCAGCGGCUUCCUGGAAGAACGGGACUCAGACGGGCCAGCGCCCAAGGAAGAGGGUGCAAGCAAUGCCAAGCAGGCUUCAGGAGAAGCCUCCUCCCUCCGAGACUACGCCGCCACCACCAUGAAUGAGUUCCUGGGCAUGUUUGGCUACGAUGACCAGAACGUGAGGGACGAGCUGGCCCGCAAGGUCAGCUUUGAGAAGCUCCACGCCACCGCGGCCCCCGAGGCCUCCCCGGUGCCCCCAGCCUCGGAGGACAGCAAGAGGCCCAGGUUCUCCAAGUACGAGGAGUACAUCCGUAAGCUCAAGGCCGGCGAGCAGCUCCCGUGGCCCACGCACAGCGCCAAGGCCGAGGAGAGAGCGGGCAAAGAAGCCGGGCCCAUGCCGGGCCUGCGGCUGCCCAGCAACACGGCCAACCUGGAGACCAAGGCCACCAUCCUGCCCCUGCCCUCUCACAGCAGCGCCCAGAUGCAGGGGCUGGUGGCCCGCGCCUCCAAGUAUGACUUCUUCAUCCAGAAGCUGAAGACCAGCGAGAGUCUGAGACCCCAGAAUGGCAACACCUACAAGAAGCCGUCCAAGUAUGACCUGGAGAACGUCAAGUACCUGCACCUCUUCAAGCCCGGGGAGGGCAACCCAGACAUGGGGGGCGCCAUCGCCUUCAAGACCGGCAAGGUGGGGCGCCCCUCCAAGUACGACGUCCGCAACAUCCAGAAGCUGGCGCCCGUCAAAGCACCCCCCGCCCCCAGCCUGGCCCCCGCACCCCUGGCCAGCGCUCCAGGCGCCGCCCCCGUGGUGGGGCCCGAGCCACCCGUCUCCCUGCCUUUCAACACCCCCGAGUACCUGAAGUCGACCUUCUCCAAGACAGAUUCCAUCACAACGGGGACUGUCUCCACCGUCAAGAACGGAUUGCCCACAGAUAAACCAGCUGUCACCGAAGAUGUAAAUAUUUACCAGAAAUAUAUUGCCAGGUUCUCUGGCAGUCAGCACUGCGGCCACAUACACUGUGCAUACCAGUACCGGGAACACUACCACUGCCUGGACCCUGAGUGCAACUAUCAGAGAUUCACCAGUAAGCAGGACGUGAUCCGUCACUACAACAUGCACAAGAAGAGAGACAACUCCCUGCAGCACGGCUUCAUGCGCUUCAGCCCCCUGGACGACUGCAGCGUCUACUAUCAUGGCUGCCACCUCAAUGGGAAGAGCACGCACUACCACUGCAUGCAGGUGGGCUGCAACAAGGUCUACACGAGCACCUCGGACGUCAUGACCCACGAGAACUUCCACAAAAAAAACACUCAGCUCAUCAACGAUGGCUUCCAGCGCUUCCGGGCCACUGAGGACUGUGGCACUGUGGACUGCCAGUUUUACGGGCAGAAAACCACGCACUUUCAUUGCAGGCGCCCCGGGUGCACGUUCACGUUCAAGAACAAGUGUGACAUCGAGAAGCACAAAAGCUACCACAUCAAGGACGACGCGUACGCCAAGGACGGCUUUAAGAAGUUCUACAAGUACGAGGAGUGCAAGUACGAGGGCUGCGUGUACAGCAAGGCCACCAACCACUUCCACUGCAUCCGCGCCGGCUGCGGCUUCACCUUCACCUCCACCAGCCAGAUGACCUCGCACAAGCGCAAGCACGAGCGCCGCCACAUCCGCUCGGCGGGGGUGCUGGGGCUGCCGGCCGCGCUGCUGGGCGCCAAGGACAACGAGCUCGAGGAGUCCAGCAACGACGACCUGGUCGACUUCUCGGCCAUGAGCAGCAAGAACUCGAGCCUGAGCGCGUCGCCCACCAGCCAGCAGUCGGCCGCCUCCCUGGCGGCGCCCGGCGAGGCCCCGCCGCCCCCCGCCGCGGCCAAGCCGCCCAACAGCAAGAUGUCCGGCCUGCUGGCGCAGGCGCUGCCCAGCAACAUCCCGCUGGCCCUGGCGCUCUCCAACUCGGGCAUGCCGGCCGCGGGGCCCUUCUUCCCCAUCCUGCCCGGACGCGUGAGCACCCCGCUGCCCGUGGGCACCCCCGGCCUGAUGGGCGCCCUGUCCUCCGGGGCCGGGGCUCCGGACACCCCCACGCCGGCCAGCUCCGGGCCCGGCGACUCCGCCCCGGCUGCCUCCACGUCGUCCCCGGCCCCGGCCGCCUCCAUCAUGGAGAGGAUCUCCGCCAGCAAGGGCCUCAUCUCCCCCAUGAUGGCCAGGCUGGCCGCCGCAGCCCUCAAGCCCUCGACGACGGCUUUCGAAGCAGGGAAUGGGCAGCAGCAGCAGAUCCCCCCUGGACGGUUCCCCCCAACCCAGGUGAAGCAGGACCCUGGCGAGAACCCCUCGACUUCCUCCUCCUCAGGUUCCCAGGAGACCUUGCAGGACCGCAGUCUAGACCUCAGUGUGAAGGAGCACGGCAAUGAAUCAAAUAGCCACGCAGUCGCAGCAAAUUCAUCUCUUUUAUCCUCGCUUAUGAAUAAGAUGUCCCAAGGCAACCCCAGCCUCGGAAGCCUGCUGAGCAUCAAAACCGAGGCAGAAGGGGGCACCACCGGAGAAUCCUCUCCGUACCUGGGCAAGGCUGUGAAGAGCCUGGUUCAGGAGAAGUUGUCUGAGCCCUGGAAGGCAUACCUGCGCAGGUUCGGCACCAAGGAUUUCUGCGAUGCCCAGUGUGAUUUCUUGCACAAAGUUCACUUCCACUGCGUGGUAGAAGAGUGUGGCGCCCUGUUCAGCACCCUGGACGGGGCCAUCAAACAUGCCAAUUUCCACUUCCGAACGGAGGGAGGAGGAGUGGUAAAAGGAAACACGGAAGCUUCCUUCCCAAACACAGCGGCUGAGACCAAGCCUUCGCUAGCCCCGUCUUCGCCUCCGGCACCCUCUGUCACCACUGCAGCGGCAGCGGCGACCGCUUCCAGCCUGGAGGUGCCCACUGCCAGCCCGGCCACCAUGCCCUCUGCCCCGACCCUCCUGGCCUGGAAGCAGCUGGCUUCCACCAUCCCUCAGAUCCCUCAGAUGCCUCAGAUUCCUUCGUCGGUGCCGGGGAUGGCUGCUUCGCCCUUGGCCACGACUUCUCUAGAAAACGCCAAGCCCCAAGUCAAACCCGGAUUCCUCCAGUUCCAGGAGAACGACCCCUGCCUCGCGAACGACUGCAAAUACGCCAACAAGUUCCACUUCCACUGUCUUUUCGGAAACUGCAAGUACGUCUGUAAGACCUCCGGCAAGGCCGAAUCGCACUGCCUGGACCACAUCAAUCCCAGCAACAACCUGGUGAAUGUGCGAGACCAGUUCGCUUACUAUUCGCUGCAGUGUCUCUGUCCAAACCAGCACUGUGAAUUCCGGAUGCGAGGCCACUACCAUUGCCUCCGGCCCGGCUGCUACUUCGUGACCAACAUCACAACCAAGUUGCCCUGGCAUAUAAAGAAACACGAGAAGGCCGAGCGCCGGGCAGCUAACGGGUUCAAGUAUUUCACCAAGCGCGAGGAGUGCGGGAGGCUAGGCUGCAAGUACAACCAGGUCAACAGUCAUUUCCACUGUAUCCGAGAGGGCUGCCAGUUUUCCUUCUUGCUGAAACACCAGAUGACGUCCCAUGCCCGGAAGCACAUGCGGAGGAUGCUGGGGAAGAACUUUGACCGAGUUCCUACUCAGGGACCUCCGAGCCUGAUGGACACUGAGACAGAUGAGUACAUGGAUUACACAGGCUGCAGCCCCGGGGCGCUCUCCUCUGAAUCCUCCAACAUGGACCGAAGCUGCUCCAGCACCCCGGUGGGCAAUGAGAGCACCUCCGCAGGAAACACCAUCACCAUGCCAACCGCCUCCGGCGCCAAGAAGCGCUUCUGGAUCAUCGAGGACAUGUCUCCCUUCGGCAAGCGCCGCAAGACGGCGUCAUCGCGCAAGAUGCUGGACGAGGGCAUGAUGCUGGAGGGCUUCCGGCGGUACGACCUCUACGAGGACUGCAAAGACGCGGGCUGCCAGUUCUCGCUCAAGGUCACGCACUACCACUGCACGCGGGAGAACUGCGGCUACAAGUUCUGCGGGCGCACGCACAUGUACAAGCACGCGCAGCACCACGACCGCGUGGACAACCUGGUCCUGGACGACUUCAAGCGCUUCAAGGCGUCGCUGAGCUGCGGCUUCGCGGACUGCCAGUGGUCCGGCAACAGCACCCACUUCCACUGCCUGCGCUGCGGCUUCCGCUGCACGGACAGCACCAAGGUGACGGCGCACCGCAAGCACCACGGCAAGCAGGACGUGAUCAGCGCCGCGGGCUUCUGCCAGUUCAGCUCGAGCGCCGACUGCGAGGUGCCCGACUGCAAGUACAAGCUCAAGUGCUCGCACUUCCACUGCACGGCCCCCGGCUGCAAGCACACCGUGGUGGGCAUGUCGCAGAUGGACUCCCACAAGAGGAAGCACGAGAAGCAGGAGCGGGGCGAGCUCAUGCCCGCCGUCAGCCCGGGGCCCGAGGGGCUCCCGGCAGCUGGUGUCUCCCCAUGCCUUCCCUCAGCCCCGGAGGGGGUUGAGGAUCUGGGUCCCUUUAACCUCCCCCCCCCCCAGGUAUUUCAACAAAAUGGCCUUGGCUACAUGGAGUCUCCUUUUCCUCAAGCUCACUCUCCAGCACUAAACAGAAGGAAGAGGCUUCAUACGUGGAGGGUUGGGGGAGGGGGUAUUUAUUGUUAA
ensembl:lncRNA